rnacentral:rRNA from 1 species
UUGACCUCGGAUCAGGUAGGGAUACCCGCUGAACUUAAGCAUAUCAAAAGGCGGAGGAAAG